CCCCGCAAGGGGCCUGGCCACAGGUGUUGCAUGGCUGAAGUCAGCUCGUGUCGUCAGAUGUUGGGUUAAGUUCCUCUACGAGCGCAACCCCUACUGUGUGUUAAACCCCUCACACGGGACUGCACGAGAGAAACUCGAAGGAAGGUGGGGAUGACGUCAAGUCAGCAUGGCCCUUACGUCCUGGGCUACACCCACGCUACAAUGGCCGGUACAACGGGCGGCAAACCCGCGAGGUGGAGCAAAUCCCUUAAAGCCGGUCUCA
rnacentral:rRNA from 1 species